CUACGGUGCUGAAGCAACAAAUGCCCUGCUUCCAGGAAAAGCCUCUAAGCAUCAGGUAACAUCAAAUCGUACCCCAAACCGACACAGGUGGUCAGGUAGAGAAUACCAAGGCGCUUGAGAGAACUCGGGUGAAGGAACUAGGCAAAAUGGUGCCGUAACUUCGGGAGAAGGCACGCUGACACGUAGGUGAAGUGAUUUACUCAUGGAGCUGAAGUCAGUCGAAGAUACCAGCUGGCUGCAACUGUUUAUUAAAAACACAGCACUGUGCAAACACGAAAGUGGACGUAUACGGUGUGACGCCUGCCCGGUGCCGGAAGGUUAAUUGAUGGGGUCAGCGCAAGCGAAGCUCCUGAUCGAAGCCCCGGUAAACGGCGGCCGUAACUAUAACGGUCCUAAGGUAGCGAAAUUCCUUGUCGGGUAAGUUCCGACCUGCACGAAUGGCGUAAUGAUGGCCAGGCUGUCUCCACCCGAGACUCAGUGAAAUUGAACUCGCUGUGAAGAUGCAGUGUACCCGCGGCAAGACGGAAAGACCCCGUGAACCUUUACUAUAGCUUGACACUGAACAUUGAGCCUUGAUGUGUAGGAUAGGUGGGAGGCUUUGAAGCGUGGACGCCAGUCUGCGUGGAGCCGACCUUGAAAUACCACCCUUUAAUGUUUGAUGUUCUAACGUGGACCCGUAAUCCGGGUUGCGGACAGUGUCUGGUGGGUAGUUUGACUGGGGCGGUCUCCUCCUAAAGAGUAACGGAGGAGCACGAAGGUUGGCUAAUCCUGGUCGGACAUCAGGAGGUUAGUGCAAUGGCAUAAGCCAGCUUGACUGCGAGCGUGACGGCGCGAGCAGGUGCGAAAGCAGGUCAUAGUGAUCCGGUGGUUCUGAAUGGAAGGGCCAUCGCUCAACGGAUAAAAGGUACUCCGGGGAUAACAGGCUGAUACCGCCCAAGAGUUCAUAUCGACGGCGGUGUUUGGCACCUCGAUGUCGGCUCAUCACAUCCUGGGGCUGAAGUAGGUCCCAAGGGUAUGGCUGUUCGCCAUUUAAAGUGGUACGCGAGCUGGGUUUAGAACGUCGUGAGACAGUUCGGUCCCUAUCUGCCGUGGGCGCUGGAGAACUGAGGGGGGCUGCUCCUAGUACGAGAGGACCGGAGUGGACGCAUCACUGGUGUUCGGGUUGUCAUGCCAAUGGCACUGCCCGGUAGCUAAAUGCGGAAGAGAUAAGUGCUGAAAGCAUCUAAGCACGAAACUUGCCCCGA
rnacentral:rRNA from 1 species